GAUGAACGCUAGCGAUAGGCUUAACACAUGCAAGUCGAGGGGCAGCAUGGUCUUAGCUUGCUAAGGCUGAUGGCGACCGGCGCACGGGUGCGUAACGCGUAUGCAACUUGCCUCACAGAGGGGGAUAACCCGUCGAAAGACGGACUAAUACCGCGUACACUCUAUGUUGGGCAUCCAAUGUAGAGGAAAUGAAAUUCGCUGUGAGAUAGGCAUGCGUCCCAUUAGCUAGUUGGUGAGGUAACGGCUCACCAAGGCGACGAUGGGUAGGGGAACUGAGAGGUUGAACCCCCACGCUGGUACUGAGACACGGACCAGACUCCUACGGGAGGCAGCAGUGAGGAAUAUUGGUCAAUGGGCGAGAGCCUGAACCAGCCAAGUCGCGUGAAGGAUGACUGUCUUAUGGAUUGUAAACUUCUUUUAUACGGGAAUAACAAGAGUCACGUGUGGCUCCCUGCAUGUACCGUAUGAAUAAGCAUCGGCUAACUCCGUG
rnacentral:rRNA from 1 species